UCUUCCCUUCGUCCUCUUCGCUAUCGGCGACGAGAUGAUCGAGAUUUCAUAACGGUGGGCGUAUUGAUGUUUUCGUCUUUAAUCGUCAUAAUUAGUGAGCCUUCGAGACUUCCGUUGGUCUGUUUGUCGGCUUAAUAUUUAUAUAUAUAUCCACAUAUCUCUCCUCUGUGAAUCGCGCUCUCCAACGAGUUAAGCACAGUGGGGAGCUUUUGGGUUUAGACAUGUGCUCCUUGAUGCCCAAGUCCCGUAAUGUGAAAAACGCAGCAUCUUGUGGGGUUAACAAGCUGUCUGUCGGCGAGCAGAUGAGGCCAGCGACCAUUGGCAGUACCCGGAGCAACCACAACUUCAAGCUUUCUGACUAUAUAAUAUCCAUACGCUUCUGGGUAUUCUCAAACCUUGGAUAUGAAUUUUUUUUUCAUUCUAAUCUCUAUGGAGGAUUGAGGGUAUGAUUUGAUCAUGUGUUUAGAUCGGUUAUCUAAAAUAGCGUUGCCAAUAUCUGAUAAACUACAAGUGUGGUCAAUUCCUUUACUUUUUAGGAUAAACUACAAGAGUGGUCACUUAGCUAAUCCAAUUGUACAUAUCAUUCUUUGUAAGAACUUAGCAAUGUUGAAAAAGCUUCAAAGGAGAGCUUUGUUGCAGAAACUUCAAAUCUAAUGACCACUUUUUGUGCCAACUGAUGAAUGUAGAGCUAUGAUUACAGCAGCUAGGCUCCCAUAUUUGAUGGUGACUACUGGCCAGACACAGCAAAAGAAGAUGGCAGAAAUGACAUUAAGAACAGAGUGAUCAAAAACUCAAUUACAUAAGGGUUCUAAAAGCUUCUGGGCAUACUGAUCUUUUUGGGAAGGCAUCCAAAGCUUGGUGAGAUCAUCCGUCCACUGAAUGAGGACUUUCUCAUAGUCCACUUGCAACCUUCUUACACACAUUGCUUAUGGUGAUGGUAUCUGGAAUCGUUGGAUCAGCAGUCAGUGAAAACAUUUUCAGAUUUGUGAUAAAUGUUAUGAAGCUGAACAGAGGCAUGAAGACAUGGAAAGGCACAUCUGUCUGAUCUUCAAGACCAAUUCCACUGCAGAUUCUUUGCAUUCCGACAAUUUGCUGCUCUCGGUAAAUCUCGGGUUCAUCUUAUUUAUUUUUUCCUCCUAAAUAUGGGUCUUCAUUGGGUUUCAUUAGUUAGGGCUCCUAAAAUUCUUUGGCAUGUUUGUAUAUUCAACGGAUCAAAAAUGAUAUCUCACUAAAAAAAGAUGAAUUUUUUAUAUAUAAGUUUAAUAGCAUUUCAGCUCUAUAAAAAGGACAUGGAAAGCUAUCAUGUCCCACUAAUAAUAGAUGUAUCUUUUUAUUGCU